CCUACGGGUGGCUGCAGUGGGGAAUUUUCCGCAAUGCUCGAAAGAGUGACGCAGCGACGCCGCGUGAAGGAUGAAGGUCUUCGGGUCGUAAAGUUCUUUUGUCAGGGAAGAAAAUGUUUAAUAGUAACUGAUUAUGUCUUGACGGUACCUGUUUAAGCAGUGACGGCUAACUCUGUGCCAGCAGCCGCGGUAAUACGUAGGGGGCGAGCGUUGUUCGGAGUGAUUGGGCGUAAAGAGCACGUAGGCGGUGUUAUAAGUCAUUAGUCAAAGACUAGAGCUCAACUUUAGUAAGGCUUGUGAUACUGGAAGACUAGAGUAACAUAGAGGAUAGCAGAAUUCCUGGUGUAGCGGUGAAAUGCGUAGAUAUCAGGAAGAAUACCGUUAGCGAAGGCAGCUAACUGGCUAGAAACUGACGCUGAGGUGCGAAAGCGUGGGUAGCAAACAGGAUUAGAUACCCUAGUAGUC
rnacentral:rRNA from 1 species